rnacentral:rRNA from 1 species
GCGGUGAGCAUGUGGUUUAAUUCGAUGCAACGCGUAAGAACCUUACCUAGGCUUGACAUCCCUGGAAUUUUGUGGAAACACAAAAGUGCCUUUCGGGGAACCAGGAGACAGGUGCUGCAUGGCUGUCGUCAGCUCGUGUCGUGAGAUGUUGGGUUAAGUCCCGCAACGAGCGCAACCCUUAUCUUUAAUUGCCAGCAUUCAGUUGGGCACUUUAAAGAGACUGCCGGUGUUAAACCGGAGGAAGGUGGGGAUGACGUCAAAUCAGCACGGCCCUUAUGUCCAGGGCUACACACGUGUUACAAUGGUCGGUACAGAGGGCAGCUACUGGGUGACCAGAUGCUAAUCUCGAAAGCCGGUCUUAGUUCGGAUCGAAGUCUGCAACUCGACUUCGUGAAGCUGGAUUCGCUAGUAAUCGCGCAUCAGCCACGGCGCGGUGAAUACGUUCCCGGGCCUU